rfam:Marchantia polymorpha subsp. polymorpha scaffold3256, whole genome shotgun sequence.
GGGCAUUUGGUCUAGUGGUAUGAUUCUUGCUUUGGGUGCAAGAGGCCGCGAGUUCGAUUCUCGCAAUGCCCC